AUGUCCUCUACUUGUUGCAAUGAUCAUGAUUGGGGUGAUUCUUCUUACGAUCUUGAAAAUUUACUUACUCCCCAUGAUGAAUAUGAGAUUGAUAAUAAUGUUUGCAAUAAUAUUGAAAGUGGGUUUGGAAGAGUGUCAACUUUAGAUCCCACAUAUUUGGAAAAUGUUCAAUCUUAUGAAAUUUUUGAUAAAAGUGGGUUUGGAGAGGUCAUGACUUUAGUUAAUGUUGAUCCUGCUAUUUUGGAAGAGUGUCAACUUCGCAUGCAUGUGGAUUGUGUUGAUAGCUAUUUUGUUAAAUUUUCUUAUGAUCCCACAUGUAAUUAUUAUGAGAGAGGAAAAUAUGGUUGUAGAAAUUUUCAUGUUGCUAAAUUACCUCUCGUUAUGUUGAGAUUACUAUUGUUUCUUUCGUCUUCCUUGCAUAUGCUAGUUUUUGCUUGCUAUGAUAACUUGUUUGCCUUUAAGAUGCCUAUGCAUAGGAAGUAUGUUAGACUUAGAUGUGUUUUUCAUAUGCUUUAUGAUGCUCUCUUUGUGCUUCAAUUCUUGUCUUUUAUGUGA
rnacentral:rRNA from 1 species